rnacentral:rRNA from 1 species
AUUGAACGCUGGCGGCAGGCCUAACACAUGCAAGUCGAACGAGUGGCGGAUGGGUGAGUAAUGUCUGGGAAACUGCCCGAUGGAGGGGGAUAACUACUGGAAACGGUAGCUAAUACCGCAUACCAUCGGAUGUGCCCAUAUGGGAUUAGCUAGUAGGUGGGGUAACGGCUCACCUAGGCGACGACCCCUAGCUGGUCUGAGAGGAUGACCAGCAACACUGGAAUGGUGACACGGUCCAGACUCCUACGGGAGGAAGCAGUGGGGAAUAUUGCAAAAUGGGCGCAAGCCUUAUACAGCCAUGCCGCGUGUAUGAAGAAGGCCUUCGGGUUGUAAAGUACUUUCAGCGAGGAGGCGUUACUCGCAGAAGAAGCACCGGCGAACUCCGUGCCAGCAGCCGCGGUAAUAC